UCGCCUUGAAGCCGCACCGCCAUCUUUACUACGGGCGGAUUUUGCCCUUUAGCCGCGCCCCGCUUCCCGCGGGAAAUCUCGCGAGAUUUCGCUGUGCCACGUUCCCGGGCUUUUGGAGGACCUUCCUCCUCCCCGGGUUCUGCCCCUCCCCAUGGGGCUCCCCCUCCUCAUCCUCACCCUGGUGCUGCUGGGGCUGGGGGAGGGGCACCAGGAGCCCCCCCCCAGCCUCGGGGCACCCCCACCCCAAUCCCCACCUCUAUGGACCCCCCAAAUCCCGCCCGGACACCGCCCAGGUGUGGCUGCAGACGCUGGGGGCCGCCCUGGGGGUGUCCCUGGCCCCACACCUGGUGCUGUUUUUCGUCCCGGCCGAUUCGGGCUCCCCGCGGCGCCGGGGGCUCCUGCGGCUGCUGCUGAGCUUCGCUGCGGGGGGGCUGCUGGGGGACGCCUUCCUGCACCUCAUCCCGCACG